CCUACGGGGGGCUGCAGUCGAGAAUCUUCGGCAAUGGGCGCAAGCCUGACCGAGCGACGCCGCGUGCGGGAUGAAGGCCUUCGGGUUGUAAACCGCUGUCGAGGGGAAUGAAGUGCAGGUGGGUUCUCCCAUCUGUUUGACAGAUCCCUGGAGGAAGCAUGGGCUAAGUUCGUGCCAGCAGCCGCGGUAAGACGAACCAUGCAAACCAUUUUCGGAUUCACUGGGCUUGGAGCGUGCGUAGGCGAUCUUGGAAAGCCCUCAGCCCAACUGAGGAAUUGCGCUUGAUACUGCAUGACUAGAGAAUGAUAGAGGUGGGUGGAACUGAUGGUGGAGCGGUGAAAUGCGUUGAUAUCAUCAGGAACACCAGUGGCGAAGGCGACCCACUGGGUCAGGGCUGACGCUGAGGUACGAAAGCUAGGGUAGCGAACGGGAUUAGAUACCCCAGUAGUC
rnacentral:rRNA from 1 species